rnacentral:rRNA from 1 species
UACGUAGGGGGCAAGCGUUGGUCCGGAUUUAUUGGGCGUAAAGAGCAGUGUAGGCGGCCAGGUAGGUCCGUUGUGAAAACUGGAGGCUUAACCUCCGAGCUGUCGAUGGAAACCAUCUGGCUAGAGUCCGGAAGAGGAGAGUGGAAUUCCUGGUGUAGCGGUGAAAUGCGCAGAUAUCAAGGAAGAACACCCGUGGCGAAGGCGG